UACGAACUGUGCGAACGUUAUUCGGAAUCACUGGGCUUACAGGGUGUGUAGGCGGCUUGUCAAGUAGGGUGUGAAAGCCCCCGGCUUAACCGGGGAAUUGCGCCCUAAACUGGCGAGCUGGAGUGAGAUAGGGGUGUGUGGAACUUCCGGUGGAGCGGUGAAAUGUGUUGAUAUCGGAAGGAACGCCGGUGGCGAAAGCGACACACUGGAUCUUGUCUGACGCUGAGGCACGAAAGCCAGGGGAGCGAACGGG
rnacentral:rRNA from 1 species